rnacentral:rRNA from 1 species
ACGCAUUAAAUUGACCGCCGGGGAGUACGACCGCAAGAUUAAACACAAAAGAAGGACGGGGGCCAGCACAAGCGGUGGAGCAUCUGGUUUAAUUCGAAGAACGCCAAGAACCUUCCCAGGCCUUGACAUGCAGAAAACUUUCUAGAGAUGGAUAGGUGCCUUCGGGAACUUGCCACAGGUGCUCCAUGGCGUCGUCAACAAAAGUCGUGAGAUGUUGGGUUAAAACCCGAAACGAGCGCAACCCUUGUCCUUAGUUAACAGCACGUUAUGGUGGGCACUCUAAGGAAACUGCCGGUGACAAACCGGAGGAAGGUGGGGAGGAGGUCAAGUCAUCAUGGCCCUUACGGCCUGGGCUACACACGUGCUACAAUGGUCGGUACAGAGGGUUGUCAAGUCGCGAGGUGGAGCUCACCCCACAAAGCCGAUCGUAAUCCGGAUCGCAGUCUGCAACUAAAAUGCGUGAAGUCGAAAUCGCUAGUAAUAGAGAAUCAGAAUGUCGCGGGAAUACGUUCCCGGGCCCCUCCCUCGGAAGCCCGUCACCCCAUGGAUGGGUUCCCCCCCCUCCUUCCUUUUUUAGUUGCUUU